ACAUAAUAAAGUCUGAUUAGUUACACAUGCUAUAAAUGCUAAUAGGUAGUUUUAGGAAGUUUAGGGGGUAGGCCUUUUAUAUGUAUAUUAAUUCAUUUAUAAAUAACACAUUAAAAAAGGAAAAAUUUAAAAAGAUAUCCUUAAAAAUGCUCUUCAAUAUUUGAUAUAAUCUUUUAUUAUUUAGAAGAAUAGGUUCAUAUUUUUUGGUACAAUUGCUACAUUCUUAUUACAAAUUCUAACAAUAGUGAAAAGCUAAAGGAAAAAUGAUCAGAAAUCUCGCUAUCUCCACUAUUAACAUUUUGGUGAAAAUCCAGUAGUAGGCUGUAUUACAGUUCUUACUUAGUCAUUAUGUCCUUCCCUGCAGGUGUACCUUGCCCUACUAACUUUGGAUCUGGCCAAUGGAAUAUAAGGAGAUUUGACCUGUGCUGCUGUGAUUAACAGACAUCAGAGGCAUGGUACCAUGAGGACAGAGACCUCAACUGUGUGUUCAUCAUUAAGUCUCCAGAAUUCAGCAAAAUAUAUGGCACAUAGAAGGAAGAAAAACAACAGUAACUAGAUGAAGCAAGGACCACCCUUCUGGACAACAAAGGGAGAGGAAUGAAAGUCUGACCUAGGAAAAGACGGAGUCUCGCUGUGUUGUCCAGGAUGGAGUGCAGUGGUGCUUUCUCAGCUCACUGCAACCUCUGCCUCCCAGUUCAAGCAAUUCUUCUGACUCAGCCUCCUGAGUAGCUGGGAUUACAGGCACCUGCUACCACACCAUGCUAAUUUUUGUAUUUUUAGUAGAGACGGGGUUUCUCCAUGUUGGCCUGGCUGGUCUCGAACUCCUGACCUCAGGUGAUCCACCUGCCUCGGCCUCUCAAAAUGCUAGGAUUACAGGUGUGAGCCACCACACCUGGCCAACUUAUCCUUUUUUUAACAUCUAGUUUUCUGUGAGUGUUUUCUAAUGUGCACUGUAGACGGACAUAGUGGUAUGUGAUUACUAUUCAUAGAUAAAUAAUAAUUUGUUUAUUAUUGUGUAAUAAACAUUGUGUGAUAAAGAAUUUGGCUGACCUUUGUUUCUGGUUCUUGAGAGGUAAUCUUUCAACCCAUGGAGUUUCCCAAGUGAUUGGAGUGUCUUUGUUCUUCAAGGUGGGCCCCAUAGAGCAUAUUUGAUGGUUUAUGCUAAUGUGAUGACUCAGGAUGGAAGCCGGCCAUGUUAGGAAGACCAAAGACAUGAUGAGAUGGUUGGGACUUUGAGCCAGGUGGCAUCAGUUCCACUUCCAAGGAGAGAAGAUGCAUUGGAAAUUGAGUUCAACCAUUUGGGCAAGGAUUCGAUCAGUCAUGCCUAUGUAAUGAACCUCCAAUAAAACCUCUCUGGACACUAGAGCUUGGGGAAACUUCCCUCGUUGUCAAUACUAUGCAUAUUGUCAUGCAGCCAUGUGCCAUUAGGGUAAUGUCUCUGAGGACAUCAGAAGCUUCUGCUCUGGAACACUGCCAGAUCUUGCCCUGCCUAUCUAUCUUUCCGGCUGGUUCUAAUUUGUAUAUGUUUUUUAUAGCAAAACUGUAAUCAUAACUGUAGUGCUUUCUUGAGUUCUGUGAGUCAUUCUAGUGGAUUAUCAAACCUAAAAGGGGUCACAGAAAACCCCAAAUUUGUAGACAGCUGGUCAGAAGUGAGGGUGGCCCUGAGGACUCCCAAAUUUGCAGCUGGUGUCAGAAUUGAGCCAAUCUUGUGGAGAGCUGUGUCCUUAACCUUGAGUUUAGUUAACUUUGAGUAGACACAUAUUUGAUGAUUUUUUUUUUCUGUUAAGAUAUAUAUUUUUCUGAGAUG
rnacentral:lncRNA from 1 species